UACGGAGGGGGCUAGCGUUGUUCGGAAUCACUGGGCUUAAAGCGCGUGUAGGCGGGCCGGCACGUCGAUGGCUGAAAUCCCCCGGCUCAACUGGGGAGGGUCACGCGAUACUGUUCGACUCGAAGGCAGGAGAGGGAAGUGGAAUUCCCGGUGUAGUGGUGAAAUGCGUAGAUAUCGGGAGGAACACCAGUGGCGAAGGCGACUUCCUGGCCUGUUCUUGACGCUGAGGCGCGAAAGCUAGGGUAGCGAACGGG
rnacentral:rRNA from 1 species